rnacentral:rRNA from 1 species
AGGACGAACGCUGGCGGCGUGCUUAACACAUGCAAGUCGAGCGGAAAGGCCCUUCGGGGUACUCGAGCGGCGAACGGGUGAGUAACACGUGAGUAAUCUGCCCUUAGCUCUGGGAUAGCUCCGGGAAACCGGGAUUAAUACCAGAUACGACCACUUUAGACAUCUGCCGUGGUGGAAAGAAUUUCGGCUAAGGAUGAGCCCGCGGCCUAUCAGCUAGUUGGUGAGGUAACGGCUCACCAAGGCUAAGACGGGUAGCUGGUCUGAGAGGACGACCAGCCACACUGGAACUGAGACACGGUCCAGACACCUACGGGUGGCAGCAGUCGAGAAUUUUUCUCAAUGGGCGAAAGCCUGAAGGAGCGAUGCCGCGUGGGGGAUGAAUGGCUUCGGCCCGUAAACCCCUGUCAUUUGUGAACAAAUUGUUUCAUCUAACACAUGAAAUAUUGAUAGUAACGGAAGAGGAAGGGACGGCUAACUCUGUGCCAGCAGCCGC